CGCCACCUACUUAAAGACCACAAGUGCAUCGGCAGCAGCAUCGUCUCAUGCACACACCAACAAUGGAGAGCAAGUAGGAUCGAUCUACGCCAUCACAUAACCAAGAAGUGCUCUGGCACUCGCACCUCUCUCCUGCUCGGGCUGGCGGUGCAUGUCGUGGCCGUGAAGGGGGCCGUGUCUACUGGGGCUGCAGGCAGCAGAACCAUGUUGCAUGUUCAUGGGUGUGGGAGGCAUCGGGUACAUGCUAGGCGUCGCGGGG
rnacentral:lncRNA from 1 species